rnacentral:rRNA from 1 species
UGGGGAAUAUUGGACAAUGGGCGCAAGCCUGAUCCAGCCAUGCCGCGUGAGUGAUGAAGGCCUUAGGGUUGUAAAGCUCUUUCACCGGUGAAGAUAAUGACGGUAACCGGAGAAGAAGCCCCGGCUAACUUCGUGCCAGCAGCCGCGGUAAUACGAAGGGGGCUAGCGUUGUUCGGAUUUACUGGGCGUAAAGCGCACGUAGGCGGACUUUUAAGUCAGGGGUGAAAUCCCGGGGCUCAACCCCGGAACUGCCUUUGAUACUGGAAGUCUUGAGUAUGGUAGAGGUGAGUGGAAUUCCGAGGGGAGAGGUGAAAUUCGUAGAUAUUCGGAGGAACACCAGUGGCGAAGGCGGCUCACUGGACCAUUACUGACGCUGAGGUGCGAAAGCGUGGGGAGCAAACAGG